UACGGGGGGGGUAAGCGUUGUUCGGAAUUACUGGGCGUAAAGGGCUCGUAGGCGGCCAACUAAGUCGGACGUGAAAUCCCUCAGCUUAACUGGGGAACUGCGUCCGAUACUGGAUGGCUUGGAUUUGGGAGAGGGAUGCGGAAUUCCAGGUGUAGCGGUGAAAUGCGUAGAUAUCUGGAGGAACACCGGUGGCGAAGGCGGCAUCCUGGACCAAUAUUGACGCUCAUGUGCGAAAGCGUGGGGAGCAAACAGG
rnacentral:rRNA from 1 species